UCUUCGUGGAUCCAUUUACGUUCUGCUCUCUUCGUUGUUGCUUCUUCAUCUCCUGCUUCUUGCUCUUCUUCUUCUUCUGAUCGGACACGUCUUAAAUCACCAUGGUCCCGGAGGAAAAGGAAGAAGCCACUCAGACCUCAGCAGUGGAAGAGAUUCUUUAAUCCCGACGGUAGACUACGGAAUGGAGGAGUUGAUUUAUUGAAGAAAGUUCGAAGUAGAGGUAUUGAGCCCAGCAUUCGGCUGGAGGUGUGGCCAUUCCUUCUUGGAGUGUACGGUUUUAAUAGUUCGAAAGAAGAGAGAGUUACUAUAAGAAACCGGAGAAGAAAGGAGUAUGAGAGACUACGCAGGC